rnacentral:rRNA from 1 species
GACGAACGCUGGCGGCGUGCUUAACACAUGCAAGUCGAACGGAAAGGCCCUGCUUGCCGGGUACUCGAGUGGCGAACGGGUGAGUAACACGUGGGUGAUCUGCCCUGCACUUCGGGAUAAGCCUGGGAAACUGGGUCUAAUACCGGAUAGGAGCCAUUUUUAGUGUGAUGGUUGGAAAGUUUUUUCGGUGUAGGAUGAGCUCGCGGCCUAUCAGCUUGUUGGUGGGGUAAUGGCCUACCAAGGCGGCGACGGGUAGCCGGCCUGAGAGGGUGGACGGCCACAUUGGGACUGAGAUACGGCCCAGACGCCUACGGGAGGCAGCAGUGGGGAAUAUUGCACAAGGGGCGCAAGCCUGAUGCAGCGACGCCGCGGGGGGGAUGACGGCCUUCGGGUUGUAAACUCCUUUCGCUAGGGACGAAGCUUUUUGUGACGGUACCUAGAGAAGAAGCACCGGCUAACUACGUG